AGAACGAACGCUGGCGGCAGGCUUAACACAUGCAAGUCGAACGCUCCGCAAGGAGAGUGGCAGACGGGUGAGUAACGCGUGGGAAUCUACCUAGUUCUACGGAACAACACAGGGAAACUUGUGCUAAUACCGUAUACGCCCUACGGGGGAAAGAUUUAUCGGAAUUAGAUGAGCCCGCGUAAGAUUAGCUAGUUGGUGGGGUAAUGGCCUACCAAGGCGACGAUCUUUAGCUGGUCUGAGAGGAUGAUCAGCCACACGUGGGACUGAGACACGGCCCAGACUCCGUACGGGAGGCAGCGAGGUGGGGAAUUAGUUGGACAAGUGGGCGACAA
rnacentral:rRNA from 1 species